rnacentral:rRNA from 1 species
AUGAACGCUGGCGGCGUGCCUAAUACAUGCAAGUCGAGCGAACAGACGAGGAGCUUGCUCCUCUGACGUUAGCGGCGGACGGGUGAGUAACACGUGGAUAACCUACCUAUAAGACUGGGAUAACUUCGGGAGACCGGAGCUAAUACCGGAUAAUAUAUUGAACCGCAUGGUUCAAUAGUGAAAGACGGUUUUGCUGUCACUUAUAGAUGGAUCCGCGCCGCAUUAGCUAGUUGGUAAGGUAACGGCUUACCAAGGCAACGAUGCGUAGCCGACCUGAGAGGGUGAUCGGCCACACUGGAACUGAGACACGGUCCAGACUCCUACGGGAGGCAGCAGUAGGGAAUCUUCCGCAAUGGGCGAAAGCCUGACGGAGCAACGCCGCGUGAGUGAUGAAGGUCUUCGGAUCGUAAAACUCUGUUAUUAGGGAAGAACAAAUGUGUAAGUAACUAUGCACGUCUUGACGGUACCUAAUCAGAAAGCCACGGCUAACUACGUG